AGUGAACGCUGGCGGCGUGCUUAACACAUGCAAGUCGAACGAGAACGGAAUAUAGCUUGCUAUAUUUGUCAGCUAAGUGGCGCACGGGUGAGUAAUGUAUAGAUAACCUGCCCUUAAGAAAGGAAUAACAGUUGGAAACGACUGCUAAUGCCCUAUAUGCCUUUAAUACAUAAGUAUGCAAGGGAAACGCUUUAGUGCUUAAGGAUGGGUCUGUAUGGUAUCAGCUUGUUUGUGAGGUAAUGGCUCACCAAGGCUAUGACGCCUAACUGGUUUGAGAGGAUGAUCAGACACACUGGAACUGAGACACGGUCCAGACUCCUACGGGAGGCAGCAGUGGGGAAUAUCGCACAAUGGACGAAAGUCUGAUGCAGCAACGCCGCGUGGAGGAUGACACAUUUCGGUGCGUAAACUCCUUUUAUAUAGGAAGAUAAUGACGGUACUAUAUGAAUAAGCACCGGCUAACUCCGUGCCAGCAGCCGCGGUAA
rnacentral:rRNA from 1 species